rnacentral:lncRNA from 1 species
CUGAAAGUACUUCAAAAGUCAAAAAUUUUAGAAUUAAAAAUUGUUUUAAUUUAGGACAGGAAAGAACCUUAACUACACCCUCAUGAUUGUGAGGCAGAUGUCUAAAAAAGUGAUUAGUCCAUUAGUUCAUCUUCUAUUAUAUUUCAAAAUACUUUCAUUUAUAUCCAAAACAACCUGUCUUGCCUAUCAGACAUUUUUUUUCUCUGAGAUAUCAAAAACAGUUAUGAUAAUACUUUAUCAGGUUAUUUACAAAUCAUUGAGCAAAUUAAUUUUAAUCUGUACUCCUACUCCUACACAUAUAAUUAUGCUCAGUCUUAAGAAAGCAAAAUUUCCUACUUCUGAAAAGGGAGUGAGGGGACAAAAGAAAUUAUUUUUAAUCAUAUUGAAAAUCUAGUGUCCACUCAUAAUCAAGAAGCAAAGACAACAAAAGCAAAACAACUGGGUCUAAAAAGUUUCUGCACAGCAAAGGAAACAAAAUGAAAAGGCAAUCUACCAAAUAGAAAAUA